rnacentral:rRNA from 1 species
UACGGAGGGGGCUAGCGUUGUUCGGAAUUAUUGGGCGUAAAGGGCGCGUAGGCGGCCAGAUAAGUCUGAUGUGAAAUCCCUCGGCCCAACCGGGGAACUGCAUUUGAAACUGUCUGGCUCGAGUCCGGGAGAGGGUAGCGGAAUUCCCAGUGUAGCGGUGAAAUGCGUAGAUAUUGGGAGGAACACCGGUGGCGAAGGCGGCUUACUAAGGAGUAACUGACGCUGAGGCACGAAAGUGCGGGGAUCAAACAGG